rnacentral:rRNA from 1 species
GGUGAAAAGCACCCCGGAAGGGGAGUGAAAUAGAACCUGAAACCGUGUGCUUACAAGUAGUCAGAGCCCGUUAAUGGGUGAUGGCGUGCCUUUUGUAGAAUGAACCGGCGAGUUACGAUUUGAUGCAAGGUUAAGCAGUAAAUGUGGAGCCGUAGCGAAAGCGAGUCUGAAUAGGGCGUUUAGUAUUUGGUCGUAGACCCGAAACCAGGUGAUCUACCCUUGGUCAGGUUGAAGUUCAGGUAACACUGAAUGGAGGACCGAACCGACUUACGUUGAAAAGUGAGCGGAUGAACUGAGGGUAGCGGAGAAAUUCCAAUCGAACCUGGAGAUAGCUGGUUCUCUCCGAAAUAGCUUUAGGGCUAGCCUCAAGUGAUGAUUAUUGGAGGUAGAGCACUGUUUGGACGAGGGGCCCCUCUCGGGUUACCGAAUUCAGACAAACUCCGAAUGCCAAUUAAUUUAACUUGGGAGUCAGAACAUGGGUGAUAAGGUCCGUGUUCGAAAGGGAAACAGCCCAGACCACCAGCUAAGGUCCCAAAAUAUAUGUUAAGUGGAAAAGGAUGUGGCGUUGCCCAGACAACUAGGAUGUUGGCUUAGAAGCAGCCAUCAUUUAAAGAGUGCGUAAUAGCUCACUAGUCGAGUGACACUGCGCCGAAAAUGUACCGGGGCUAAACAUAUUACCGAAGCUGUGGAUUGUCCUUUGGACAAUGGUAGGAGAGCGUUCUAAGGGCGUUGAAGCAUGAUCGUAAGGACAUGUGGAGCGCUUAGAAGUGAGAAUGCCGGUGUGAGUAGCGAAAGACGGGUGAGAAUCCCGUCCACCGAUUGACUAAGGUUUCCAGAGGAAGGCUCGUCCGCUCUGGGUUAGUCGGGUCCUAAGCUGAGGCCGACAGGCGUAGGCGAUGGAUAACAGGUUGAUAUUCCUGUACCACCUAUAAUCGUUUUAAUCGAUGGGGGGACGCAGUAGGAUAGGCGAAGCGUGCGAUUGGAUUGCACGUCUAAGCAGUAAGGCUGAGUAUUAGGCAAAUCCGGUACUCAUUAAGGCUGAGCUGUGAUGGGGAGAAGACAUUGUGUCUUCGAGUCGUUGAUUUCACACUGCCGAGAAAAGCCUCUAGAUAGAAAAUAGGUGCCCGUACCGCAAACCGACACAGGUAGUCAAGAUGAGAAUUCUAAGGUGAGCGAGCGAACUCUCGUUAAGGAACUCGGCAAAAUGACCCCGUAACUUCGGGAGAAGGGGUGCUCUUUAGGGUUAACGCCCAGAAGAGCCGCAGUGAAUAGGCCCAAGCGACUGUUUAUCAAAAACACAGGUCUCUGCUAAACCGUAAGGUGAUGUAUAGGGGCUGACGCCUGCCCGGUGCUGGAAGGUUAAGAGGAGUGGUUAGCUUCUGCGAAGCUACGAAUCGAAGCCCCAGUAAACGGCGGCCGUAACUAUAACGGUCCUAAGGUAGCGAAAUUCCUUGUCGGGUAAGUUCCGACCCGCACGAAAGGCGUAACGAUUUGGGCACUGUCUCAACGAGAGACUCGGUGAAAUCAUAGUACCUGUGAAGAUGCAGGUUACCCGCGACAGGACGGAAAGACCCCGUGGAGCUUUACUGUAGCCUGA